rnacentral:rRNA from 1 species
CCGCAUGGGGAUAUUUGCUAAAGAUUCAUCGCUGAUAGAUAGGCAUGCGUUCCAUUAGGCAGUUGGCGGGGUAACGGCCCACCAAACCGACGAUGGAUAGGGGUUCUGAGAGGAAGGUCCCCCACAUUGGUACUGAGACACGGACCAAACUCCUACGGGAGGCAGCAGUGAGGAAUAUUGGUCAAUGGGCGCGAGCCUGAACCAGCCAAGUCGCGUGAGGGAUGAAGGUUCUAUGGAUCGUAAACCUCUUUUAUAAGGGAAUAAAGUGUGGGACGUGUCCUAUUUUGUAUGUACCUUAUGAAUAAGGAUCGGCUAACUCCGUGCCAGCAGCCGCGGUAAUACGGAGGAUCCGAGCGUUAUCCGGAUUUAUUGGGUUUAAAGGGUGCGUAGGCGGCCUUUUAAGUCAGCGGUGAAAGUCUGUGGCUCAACCAUAGAAUUGCCGUUGAAACUGGGGGGCUUGAGUAUGUUUGAGGCAGGCGGAAUGCGUGGUGUAGCGGUGAAAUGCUUAGAUAUCACGCAGAACCCCGAUUGCGAAGGCAGCCUGCCAAGCCAUGACUGACGCUGAUGCACGAAAGCGUGGGGAUCAAACAGGAUUAGAUACCCUGGUAGUCCACGCAGUAAACGAUGAUCACUAGCUGUUUGCGAUACAGUGUAAGCGGCACAG